rnacentral:tRNA from 1 species
CGCACUCCACCGGUACGCGCCGGUGCGGAGACCGGGGUUACUUCACUGGUAAUGAGCGGGUUGCGGGUUCGAGUCCCGCCGCGA